UACGAAGGUCCCAAGCGUUAUCCGGAUUUAUUGGGUUUAAAGGGUGCGUAGGCGGGUUAUUAAGUCAGUGGUGAAAGCUCCAUGCCUAACAUGGAAAUUGCCAUUGAUACUGAUGAUCUUGAGUACAUUUGAAGUGGGCGGAAUGUGUCAUGUAGCGGUGAAAUGCUUAGAUAUGACACAGAACACCGAUUGCGUAGGCAGCUCGCUAAACUGUAACUGACGCUGAGGCACGAAAGCGCGGGGAGCAAACAGG
rnacentral:rRNA from 1 species